rnacentral:rRNA from 1 species
GAUUAACGCUGGCGGCGUGCCUAAUACAUGCAAGUCGAACGGAGAAUUAGCAAUAGUUCUUAGUGGCGAAUGGGUGAGUAACGCGUUGGUGACCUGCCCCAAAGUGAGGGAUAACAACUCGAAAGGGUUGCUAAUACCCCAUGUGGUCAGCGGAUUUGGAAACCGCUGUCUAAAGCAGUAAUGCGCUUUGGGAGGGGCCUGCGUCCCAUCAGCUAGUUGGUAGGGUAAUGGCCUACCAAGGCGACGACGGGUAGGGGGCCUGAGAGGGUGGCCCCCCACACUGGCACUGAAACACGGGCCAGACACCUACGGGAGGCAG